GACGAACGCUGGCGGCGUGCUUAACACAUGCAAGUCGAACGGAAAGGCCCUGCUUGCCGGGUACUCGAGUGGCGAACGGGUGAGUAACACGUGGGUGAUCUGCCCUGCACUUCGGGAUAAGCCUGGUAAACUGGGUCUAAUACCGGAUAGGAGCCAUUUUUAGUGUGAUGGUUGGAAAGUUUUUUCGGUGUAGGAUGAGCUCGCGGCCUAUCAGCUUGUUGGUGGGGUAAUGGCCUACCAAGGCGGCGACGGGUAGCCGGCCUGAGAGGGUGGACGGCCACAGUGGGACUGAGAUACGGCCCAGACUCCUACGGGAGGCAGCAGUGGGGAAUAUUGAACAAUGGGCGCAAGCCUGAUGCAGAGACGCCGCGGGGGGGAUGACGGCCUUCGGGUUGUAAACGCCUUUCGCUAGGGACGAAGCUUUUUGUGACGGUACCUAGAUAAGAAGCACCGGCUAACUACGUG
rnacentral:rRNA from 1 species